GACAGAGGGUGCAAACGUUGUUCGGAAUUACUGGGCGUAAAGCGAGUGUAGGCGGUCUUGUAAGUCGGAUGUGAAAGCCCCGGGCUCAACCCGGGAAGUGCACUCGAUACUGCGAGGCUAGAGUGUCGGAGAGGUUGGUGGAAUUGACGGUGUAGCGGUGAAAUGCUUAGAUAUCGUCAAGAACACCGAUAGUGAAGACAGCUUACCAAGCUUCAACUGACGCUGAGGCACGAAAGUGUGGGGAUCAAACAGG
rnacentral:rRNA from 1 species